GUACCCAACGAGUCACACUUGACCUCAUAGUUAAUGAGCAAGAAAAUCUCUCUCUUACCUCAUAGUUAAUCGACCCGAUGGUGUGAGCCUACACCGCUAGUCCAACGUGCAUGUGACUAGUCUCCCGCUCUAUAAGUAAGGUAGUGCCACACUUCUGCGUUCGGAACGGCACCCGGAGUGCCGGCUGGGCCGCCGGGGCCAGCUUCUUCAAUUCGCGCAGCGCAGCUAGUUAGGGAGGGGAAAGCUUGAAAACCGGGCCCGAGACGGUGCCGACGGGCUAACGGGCGGUGGGUGUGUGGUUGCGGCCGCGUUUGGAUGUUCAUUUUGAGAGAGGCGGGCAGUGGUGCCUAGUGGGUCGAAGAAAAAAGUCCGCUAGGCUCCAACGAAGCAGAGGUGCUGGGAAGGAAGCCGGUGCAUGCCUCCGAAGAUGGGGGUACAGGCAGCGCAGGCGAAGGCGCCGGCGGGAGGCCAGGAGCAGGCCGGCGGCGACACCGCAGCCUUGACCGGAGUUGCCUCCGUUGUUCAAAGACUACUACGUCUCCUCCCUGGAGCAGUGGUUCCCCCAGCGCGAGAGGCAGACGAGGAGCGACGAGCGGAGGAGGUGAAGGUUGCCGCGGCGACGUGUUCGUAACCUCUCCGACGGCAAGUUCCGCCUGCCCAUGUCGAAGACCUGCACCUCCCCGGCGUUCUAUGUGAUGCACCUCGUUCCCAGGCCCGUCGGGUAGCACGAGUAGGUGCCGAAGCCGCGCAGCCGCAAGGUGACCUCCAUGUUGUAGGGCCUCGACCGGUUCUUCAUGUUCCACAUGCGGCACCUGGACGACCCGAAGCCGACCUCGCUCUUCCGCGACCACGUCAUGCUGCGGUGGUAGACCUACCUCGUCCAGAGGCUGAAGGAGUCCCUCCAGCAGGUCAGCGGUAGGCAGCAGCAGCCGUUGUCGAAUCCACCGAAGUGCUGCGACAAGCGGCGCUGCCUCCACGGCCUCGACCAGGCCCCGCAGCACGACGAGUUGAGGCGGCCGGUCAAGCCCCUGGGGUUGCGCGGCGGGUUCCGACUUCUCCGCCGCCACCGCCUCCUCCUCCGCUCGCGCCACUGCUCCGAGUAGCACUCCGGCGAGUUCCUCCGGAAGGUCGCCCAGCACGAGCCCAAGGAGAAGACCGUCCGGUUCGUCGGCCGGUCCCAGCUCUUUCAGGAGUUUUCGCACAUGUUUCUAGGCUCGUUGCACCUGCUCAUGGACUAGUCGAGCUAGUGCCGCGGUUGCCGGCUGGGCUUGCGGCCGCUCCACAUGAUGUCCGAGUACAGCGCCAAGCACCGCUUGGUCUCGGUCAUGUGCGACCUGUUCGACGACCCCUUCGACUGCACGGGCGACGACGACGACACCCCCCUGGACCUGGGCACCCAGCCGGGCAGGUUCCGCCGCGCCUAGGUGCUCAAGAUGCGGUUGAGGUGGCAGCAGUUGGACGUCCGGCCCGUGACGGGCGUGCUGCUCCGCGGCCUCGUCAAGUUGCGCCGCGACGAGGUCACCGAGCGCAGUGACCUCCUCCUCCGGCCGCUGUUCGGCCGGCUCGGGUCGGAGGUCCAGCACACUAAGAACAUGGAACAAUCUGAUACAUAUCGAAGACAUGGAUACAUGCAUAUACCAUGUAUAACAUUGUGUUGGUAAUAUAUAUUACUCUAUUCGGUGGGAAUCUCCUAACACGACUAAGGGGUUUUGAAUAACAGA
rnacentral:rRNA from 1 species